rnacentral:rRNA from 1 species
AACGAACGCUGGCGGCAUGCCUAACACAUGCAAGUCGAACGAGACCUUCGGGUCUAGUGGCGCACGGGUGCGUAACGCGUGGGAAUCUGCCCUUAGGUUCGGAAUAACUCCCCGAAAGGGGUGCUAAUACCGGAUAAUGUCUUCGGCCCACAGAUUUAUCGCCUUUGGAUGGGCCCGCGUUGGAUUAGCUGGUUGGUAGGGUAAAAGCCUACCAAGGUGACGAUCCAUAGCUGGUCUGAGAGGAUGAUCAGCCACACUGGGACUGAGACACGGCCCAGACUCCUACGGGAGGCAGCAGUGGGGAAUAUUGGACAGUGGGCGAAAGCCUGAUCCAGCUAUGCCGCGUGAGUGAUGAAGUCCUUAGGGUUGUAAAGCUCGUUUACCCGGGAUGAUAAUGACAGUACCGGGAGAAUAAGCUCCGGCUAACUCCGUG